UACGUAGGCAGCAAGCGUUGUUCGGAGUUACUGGGCGUAAAGGGUGUGUAGGCGGUUGCUUAAGUUUGGUGUGAAAUCUCCCGGCUCAACUGGGAGGGUGCGCCGAAUACUGAGUGACUCGAGUGCGGGAGAGGAAAGUGGAAUUCCUGGUGUAGCGGUGAAAUGCGUAGAUAUCAGGAGGAACACCGGUGGCGAAGGCGGCAUCCUGGACCGACACUGACGCUGAGGAGCGAAAGCCAGGGGAGCAAACGGG
rnacentral:rRNA from 1 species